rnacentral:tRNA from 1 species
AGCUAAUGAACUUGUUAAAGUAUAUAUUUUGAAAAUAUAAAAAAGAGAAAAUAACUCUAUUAGCUU